AUUGAACGCUGGCGGAAUGCUUUACACAUGCAAGUCGAACGGCAGCACGGACUUCGGUCUGGUGGCGAGUGGCGAACGGGUGAGUAAUACAUCGGAACGUGCCCAGUCGUGGGGGAUAACGUAGCGAAAGCUACGCUAAUACCGCAUACGAUCUAAGGAUGAAAGCGGGGGAUCGCGAGACCUCGCGCGAUUGGAGCGGCCGAUGGCAGAUUAGGUAGUUGGUGGGGUAAAGGCUCACCAAGCCGACGAUCUGUAGCUGGUCUGAGAGGACGACCAGCCACACUGGGACUGAGACACGGCCCAGACUCCGACGGGAGGCAGCAGUGGGGAAUUUUGGACAAUGGGCGCAAGCCUGAUCCAGCCAUUCCGCGUGCAGGAUGAAGGCCCUCGGGUUGUAAACUGCUUUUGUACGGAACGAAAAGGCUCUGGUUAAUACCUGGGGCUCAUGACGGUACCGUAAGAAUAAGCACCGGCUAACUACGUGCCAGCCGCCGCAGUAA
rnacentral:rRNA from 1 species